rnacentral:rRNA from 1 species
UACGUAGGUGGCAAGCGUUGUCCGGAUUUAUUGGGCGUAAAGCGAGCGCAGGCGGUUUCUUAAGUCUGAUGUGAAAGCCCCCGGCUCAACCGGGGAGGGUCAUUGGAAACUGGGAAACUUGAGUGCAGAAGAGGAGAGUGGAAUUCCAUGUGUAGCGGUGAAAUGCGUAGAUAUAUGGAGGAACACCAGUGGCGAAGGCGGCUCUCUGGUCUGUAACUGACGCUGAGGCUCGAAAGCGUGGGGAGCAAACAGGAUUAGAUACCCUGGUAGUCCACGCCGUAAACGAUGAGUGCUAAGUGUUGGAGGGUUUCCGCCCUUCAGUGCUGCAGCUAACGCAUUAAGCACUCCGCCUGGGGAGUACGACCGCAAGGUUGAA